GUGCUCACUUUGGCAACACAUGUACUAAAAUUGGAACCGUACAAAGAAGAUUAGCAUGGCCCUUGCACAAGGAUGACGUGCAAAUUGGUAAAACAUUCCAUAUUUUU